UAAUUCUUCGUUACUUUAUUUAUUUUUGAAUAUAGUGGAGAUACCGAUGGAAGAAUUCCCGUAACUUCAACAAGAUACACUCUUAGAAAGUUGGGACUUGGGAUUGUUGAAGAUUGGACUCCAUGGUAUACCAGCAACCAGGUGGGAGGAUGGACCAUUGUUUACGACGGGCUUACCUUUGUUACCAUCAGGGGUGCUGGUCAUCAAGUUCCUACUUUCGCACCCAAACAAGCUCUGCAGUUAGUUCGACACUUCCUAGAAAAUAAGAAAUUACCAUCUCAACCAAUUUAAUAAAUUCUCUUUUAAGCUAUGUUUUGAUUGAUGGAAAAAUAGAAUGCAAUUUUAUUAUUUGUAUAAUUUGUAAUAGAAUGAAACAAAUAUUCCUAUUUUACAUUUGAAAAUUUUAACGACUAUUAUAAAGUGCAAGAGUUCUGAUUUUGAUUUUAUAA